CCUGAGUUUGGGAGCCCUACACAAGCCCGGUUCAGUGAUCUCUUGGAGUGGAGGGAGAGCAGGUAUGACUGGGACGACACUCAAGAAAUUGAGCAAGACCUGGUCCAACUGGUGACCCGAGAGAUGGAGCUGGAGCAGGGCUACCAAGAUCUGUUCCACUCCAGUGAGAAGGCUCAGCAGGGAAGCGGAGACCAAGAUCCAGACCCAUUCAGCUGGGUAGAUAUUGUGGAGGAUUAUUGGGAAGAACCCCAGGUGGCGGGUGGAGAUGGGACCGAGGUCUCUCCACCGGUAUUGCAGGGAAUUGCGAGCCCGAGCUCCAUUCCCCAGCGGGAGAUAUUGCAGGGAAUCGGGAGCCCAAGCUCCAUUCCCCAGCGGCAGGAUGAUUUACAGGGGACAGAGAUA